CCCUUAGACGUUCUGGGCCGCACGCGCGCUACACUGACCAGUGCAACAAGCAUCCGUCCUUGGCCGACAGGCCCGGGCAAUCUUUGAACGCUGGUCGUGAUGGGGAUAGACUUUUGCAAUUUUUGGUCUUCAACGAGGAAUUCCUAGUAAACGCAAGUCAUCAACUUGCAUUGAUUACGUCCCUGCCCUUUGUACACACCGCCCGUCGCACCUACCGAUUGAAUGGUCCGGUGAAGCCUCCGGAUUGGCGCGCACCUCGGUGCCGCCGAGAAGUUGGCUAAACCUUACCAUUUAGGGGAAGGUGAAGUCGUAACG
rnacentral:rRNA from 1 species